GGACACCUGCCUUUCCUAAUUGAGAGCUAUUGAAUUUGCCUACCCUGAUUUGUAUCAUUGGAGUGUGGGAACAAAGAAAGGAGGCAACGGCGAAUAUUUCUUCCAGUGUGGCUGUGGGAGAGAGUUUCCCUCAAGUACAUCCGGAGCCCCUUCAGGGGGCUGGACCAGCAGCGGCAUCUGUGGUAGAACCCUCAACAUCGACAGCAGCGGGCCAGGCGACGGCGACUGUUUGCAAGAAAAAUCAGCGAGAUCUAAAUGGG